GUCGAGAAUCUUCCGCAAUGGGCGAAAGCCUGACGGAGCGACGCCGCGUGGAGGACGAAGGCCUUCGGGUUGUAAACUCCUGUCACGAGUUAAGAAGGCGCAUGUGCGAACAGCAUAGGCGUUUGACGUAAGCUCGAGAGGAAGCACUGGCUAACUCUGUGCCAGCAGCCGCGGUAAUACAGAGAGUGCAAACGUUGUUCGGAAUUACUGGGCUUAAAGCGCGCGUAGGCGGCACUGUAAGUGUCUGGUGAAAUCCCACGGCUCACCCGUGGAACUGCCGGGCAUACUGCGGUGCUAGAGUGUGGUAGGGGAGAGCGGAACUCCUGGUGGAGCGGUGAAAUGCGUAGAUAUCAGGAGGAACACCGGUGGCGAAGGCGGCUCUCUGGUCCAUAACUGACGCUGAGGUGCGAAAGCUAGGGGAGCAAACGGGAUUAGAAACCCUUGUAGUCC
rnacentral:rRNA from 1 species